UUAGGGGUCCAUUUUUUUUCACCGAUAACCCUUACUUUCUUUCGGUACAAACCAUGAACCCUUAUUUUUCCAAUUCGCCACAACUUUCACAAAUCUUUGUCACAUACUGCUAACAACCCACCGAUUCCACAUACACCUCACAAAACCUGCAAAAUUUACUUUUACUUUUCAAGAACAUGCACCAAUCCCAAUUCUAUCCAUUACUUUCACAAUAACAAUAACCUGUAAAAAUCUAACAGCGACUCAACCUUUUGUUUCCAUACCACCAAUUUUAAACACAGUCCUUCCAUGAAGCCAGUCACAAAAACUCUAAUUACCAACCAUCAAACUUUACAAAACCCGUACCAAAAUCUCAAUUACAAUUCAUACUCUUAAAUUUUACCUUAUCUUUUCAAUUAGUUCUUUUUUCACAGGUACAUAGUUGGUUCGAACAAAAGAAAAAGAGGGAAAAUAGACGAGGAAGAAGCAUUGAAGCCAACACACGCCGGCAUCUUCACGUCGCUGCUCCGAUCCAACAAAACAACUUCAGCAUCUGACGUCGCAUAACACAACCACCCGCACCGAUUCGAAGCGACAUAACAUUCCUAUCUUUUCUCACUGAGCAUUGCAACCUUCAACGAAGACGUUCCAUUAUUCAAUCCAUUUGCAAGUUCACAUUGGCGCGACAUUCGAAUAAUUUCACAGAGCAUCAUCGACCUCAGAGCAUCCACGAUUCAAACGGCAGCCUCCGACACCCCAGCGCCGCUCGAAGAUCCGGUAGCCGGACCGAACUGGAACCCAGAUCCAAAACCAGACAACACUGCCGUCGUCGGUAAUAUUCCGAUCUGCCUUUCAUUUAAUUCUUUUUAUGAUUUGUGGUUGGUGUUUACUUGAUCCUGUGAGGUAUUUUUAUUUCGAAAAAUUGAUUUUCUAAAGCUUAAUAGUGGUGAUGUUUCAUGAGGAAUUUUACUUUAGUUUGUGUGGCUUGUAUCAUGAAGGUGAACGAGAGAGAUGAUGAGAUCUCUUUUUGAUUUUCUCUCUUGUGUAAUAAUAAUUGUGUGAUAUGGUUUUACUCUCAUUUUUAUUUUACAAUAUGCCAAGUGUCAAUAUCUAAGUGGCUUAUAUAGAUGGUGGAAAAGUCAAACUUUUAUUCCUAUCUUUAUGUCAAAUUAGUGAGAGAUCACGUUGAUUUGUUCAUUAUUAAUUUUUUCUUGUAACUAUAUUUCUCUGUGUUAAUUAUAUGGCUUUUAGUUGUUUAAAUAUAAUUGUUUAAAUAGAUAUUAGGAUUAAUUAAGCUUAGCUUUUAAAUUUAAGAAUAAAAUAAUAAUAAUAUAUAUGUUAGAAAAAUAAGGGGAGCGCCCCACUUUUAGCAAAUCUUUUUUUUAUUAUUAUUAUCCUAUUAGUUUUUAGUUAUUAUUAAAUUAGGAAAAUAUUUCUAUCUAAUAAUUAGAUUAUUUUUUUUUUAGAAAACAUUAAUUUCCUUUUUUAGAAUUAACGUAGCUAUUUUUAGAUUUUUCUUUUAAUCAAUAAUUGUUUAUAUUUUCUCAUGAUCAUUUUUUGUAUCUCCUCCCAUUUUCUUGUUUUUGCGAGGUACCACCAUCGUGAGUGGUGAGCAUUGGAUUGCUUCGCAGAAUUCAUAGCUUGUGCAUACUUCAGAGUUCCUCCGACCGCCAACCAUGUCAGAUCAAAUGCAGAGCUAAGUACCUUUGUUUAUAUAUCUUAUUAUUUUAAUUUCUUUUUACCUUCUUAUUUUAGGGUUAAUUUCGUUUGCCUUUAUAUAUCUUAUUAUUUUAAUUUCUUUUUACCUUCUUAUUUUAGGGUUAAUUUCGUUUGCCUCUGAACCGAUAAUGCACUCACCCCCUUUUGUUUAUUCUUUCUUUUCCAAUUUUCAGGGUUUGUCGAAUGCCAAGGCUACGUCAUUGGUAACCCUAAACCCUAGCUCUAUAUUUUAUGUCUUUUAUUAUUACUUAUGUCAAACCCUACUAAGGGAUCCGCUGGUUUCAUUGUCCCCUUCUCCAUAUCAUUGUUGUUCUUGCCUUAUAUUAUCUGCGUGGUUAGUAAAAUAGGGAGUGGCAACCAUGAAUUGAAUUUAGAAUCGCUAAUUUAUAAGAUAAUAUAAUUGAAUAUAAUCACGUGAUUGGUGCACACACGCACGCUUUUGGGUAACCCUCUCUGUUGCCUGUUGCCUAUUGCCUUGUAUUUUGUGCAGAAUAGCCAGUCCCUCGAAUACGAGGAUACCUCAGCCAUGUUGCCUCGAUAAAAGGUCAUGAGACCCUAAAAUGAUGCCGCCUUCGAUACACUAACAUGACCUCGACCCUCGGAAGUAGCCUACGAAAAAGGCUGAGGUAUCUUCUGGUUGCCUACAAAAAAGGCUAUUCUGAUCCUUCCUCUUAGACUACCUGCCUCUUUAUGGCAUGGGUCAGUCUUUGGGCGAAUGAUAAUUCGAUGACCCUUCUACCUCCAAACGAAAGGCUUCCUGCCCUCUUAUGGCAAGGAUUGACCCUUUCAUUCUGAAAGGCUAAAAAGAGACCUAUCAUCUGAGUUUAAGGUAAUUGCCCCUAAUUGCCUUGCCAUGCUCUAUUUUCUAUAUUCUUUCUCAAAGUUCUUCAAAAACUGGCUACGCUCAUUUUACGAGCUAAAGUCCUUUUUUUUCCUCUUUCAUCUACAUUUUCUGAAAACGAGCAAGCAAAGCAAUUAAGAGCCCAUGGAAAACCAUGGAUGCAAAGGGUGCCUUACACCUUCCCUUUGCAUAAAUUACCCCCCGAACUUAGAUUUCUUAAAAGGUUUUUUUCUGUUUCUUUUUGCCUUUCCGAAUAUUGUUUGGAUAAAAUAAAAUUCGGUGGCGACUCUUGCUUACCGCGACAUUCCGAUUAAUAAAAAGUCAGUUCACCGUAUUACACAAUGCCUGAUUUGAGUUCAUUGAAAGUAUUUGGCUGUUAAAGCUAUGCUUCCACACAUCUAAAUAAUAGGCACAAGUUUGAUUCAAGAGCUAGAAAGUGUGCUUUCUUGGGAUACAAGGCAGUCCUCAGGUUUCAUUUGGAUUUCAAAAAUUUGGCAUAAAUUAAAUCAUAUAAAUGGAUUUCAAGUUUAGAAGAUCGAUGUCCGUGUUGUUGAUCUAUGGAGCGUAAAAGAACAAAGUGGACAACAACAUCUUGAAUUGAUAAUCCAAGAUGGGAAGAUUAGACAAACCCCAUGUCUUGCUAUUUCAUCUGAAUUACUCCAAUAUGUCUUGCUAUUUUGACAAAACUUGAAAUUUAUAAUGCUUGCAGUAUCUACUAUUUUUUCUUUACACACACUUUUUUCUUUCCAUGGAGAUAUCCAUAUUAUAUAUCCUUGAUUAUUCAUAUUAUUACUUACCCAGGUGUGUUCUACUUCAAUUUAUUAUCUUAUUAUUUUUUUACUUUGUAGUAUGAAAAGUCUGAUAUGUUGAUACUAUAUAAGAUGCAAACUGCCUGACAACAUCCAUCAUCUUCCUUACCUAUGAUUUAAAGGUUAUGAGUAUUCUUCACUGCUUUUUUUUAUUUAUUCCACGUAUAUGUGGUUUUUGUCAAUAUGUGCAUCUUUUCAAAUUUCUUGAUGGUUCUUCUUAAUGUAACGAUUAAGUAAACACCAAUUAAUGUAACAAUGACUACCCAAUUUUUUGUUUUAAUAUUCAAUUGAACAUCCAAUCUGAUGGAUUUUUGAUGUCAACUCAUAGUUAAAAUUUUCAUUUUGUUUUAUGUGUUGAUCUCUUGUGGAAACAUUUGACCAAUGUGUUUGCAGGAAGAGGAGACAAAACCGUGGAAGAAAUUAAUUAACACUGUAGUAUCACGUGCUGUUGGAAUGAUUUCCAAUCAUCUGUUUUUCAAGCUUGCAUCUGGUGAAGUUUUUGGUCCAUAUCAACCUAUUGCGCUGAAAUUAUUAGGAUCAAAAAGGUCAAUCCAAGCUCUUAAGGGUGACAUUGGUUUCAAAGUAGUGCAAUUACUGUAUGUAGAGCCAGAGAACUGUUUGAUGCAGUGAGUAAGAAGAAUUGAGAGCUAGCCACUUCUUGCAAAGUAGAACUUACUGCAAUGUGACAGUGACUUAAGAAACCUAUAAAAUUGAAAGUAAUAGUUACAAAUCAUCCAGUUUGUAACAAAAUUGAAUGAUCAUAUAUAGUUAGGAAUGACAAAUACUGUACAUGAUUAGAUAAACCAUAAUCUAAUUAAUUUGCAUUAUGAUGUUUAUAUUGGAUACAAACUGGUUACAGAAACUAAGUGGUCAUAUAUUGUAUACUAACAAUUAAUAAAGAGUGGUCAUAUAUUGUAUUAUGAACACAAAACCUUGCAUCCGGUAUGAAACUAAAAAAAUGCCAAGAAACUAAAAAAAGAAGAAAGUAGUCAAUCAUUGUCAUUGUCAUGUAAUUUGCAUGUUGAAUCACUCCCAACAUUGACAAAUAGUUCAACAACAUUGAGUAAGUAGUGAUGGUCAAUCAUUUUUGGAGAUAAUUUUCUUAACAAUUUACCAAACACGAUAACUCAACAUAUUUAAUUUUUUCCUCUCUAACCAUCACUUAUAUUAAAUCUAACACU